AUUGAACGCUGGCGGCAUGCCUUACACAUGCAAGUCGAACGGCAGCACGGGGCAACCUGGUGGCGAGUGGCGAACGGGUGAGUAAUGCAUCGGAACGUACCUUUCAGUGGGGGAUAACGUAGCGAAAGUUACGCUAAUACCGCAUAUUCUGUGAGCAGGAAAGCAGGGGAUCGCAAGACCUUGCGCUGAUUGAGCGGCCGAUGUCAGAUUAGCUAGUUGGUGAGGUAAAGGCUCACCAAGGCGACGAUCUGUAGCGGGUCUGAGAGGAUGAUCCGCCACACUGGAACUGAGACACGGUCCAGAGUCCUACGGGAGGCAGCAGUGGGGAAUUUUGGACACUGGGGGCAACCCUGAUCCAGCCAUGCCGCGUGAGUGAAGAAGGCCUUCGGGUUGUAAAGCUCUUUCGGCCGGGAAGAAAUCGCACGGGCUAAUACCCUGUGUGGAUGACGGUACCGGAAUAAGAAGCACCGGCUAACUACGUGCCAGCAGCCGCGGUAAGAC
rnacentral:rRNA from 1 species